UAUGAAAUACUCUGCCUCAUGAAUAUGCAAAAGAGAGGGGGUAGACUAGGUUAAAUAUGGGUAAGUCUGUGCCCUGAGGGCAUCACCCACAGCCACACCUUCCCCUACAGAAGUGCUCACAGCACAGCCCCUCACCAUGGACUGGAGCUGGAGAACCCUCCUCCUGGUGGCCAUGGCUACAGGUGUCCACUCCCAGGUGCAGCUGGUGCAGUCUGGGGCUGAGGUGAGAAAGCCUGGGGCCUCCGUGAAGGUCUACUGCAAGGCUUCUGGAUACACCUUCACCAGCUACUGGAUGCACUGGGUGUUACAGGCCCCAGAGCAGGGGCAUGAGUGGAUGGGGUGGUUUUACCCUAACAAUAGGAACACAAAAUAUGCACAGAAGUUCCAAGGCAGAGUCUCCAUGACCAGAGACAUAUCCACAAGCACAGCCUACAUGGAGCUCAGCAGCCUGAGAGCCGAGGACACAGCCAUUUAUUAUUCUGCAAGGGACACAAAGUGA